rnacentral:rRNA from 1 species
GGGGGAUAUUGCACAAUGGGGGAAACCCUGAUGCAGCGACGCCGCGUGAGUGAAGAAGUACUUCGGUAUGUAAAGCUCUAUCAGCAGGGACGAAGAAUGACGGUACCUGACUAAGAAGCCCCGGCUAACUACGUGCCAGCAGCCGCGGUAAUACGUAGGGGGCAAGCGUUAUCCGGAUUUACUGGGUGUAAAGGGAGCGUAGACGGUGACGUAAGUCAGAUGUGAAAGCCCAGGGCUCAACUCUGGGACUGCAUUUGAAACUAUGUUGCUAGAGUGCAGGAGAGGUAAGUGGAAUUCCUAGUGUAGCGGUGAAAUGCGUAGAUAUUAGGAGGAACACCAGUGGCGAAGGCGGCUUACUGGACUGUAACUGACGCUGAAGCACGAAAGCAUGGGUAGCAAAC